rnacentral:rRNA from 1 species
AGAGUUUGAUCAUGGCUCAGGAUGAACGCUGGCGGCGUGCUUAACACAUGCAAGUCGAACGGAUCAGCUUUCGGGCUGGUUAGUGGCGGACGGGUGCGUAACAUGUGGGUGAUCUGCCCCAAAGUGGGGAAUAAUCCCGCUAACGCGGGACUAAUACCGCAUGAGGUCGGCCAUUCGUUUGGUUGACCAAAGUCGCGAGACGCUUUGGGAUGAGCCUGCGGCGGAUUAGCUAGUUGGUGAGGUAAAGGCUCACCAAGGCGAUGAUCCGUAGGGGGCGUGAGAGCGUGGCCCCCCACACUGGCACUGAGAUACGGGCCAGACUCCUACGGGAGGCAGCAGUGAGGAAUAUUGCCCAAUGGGCGAAAGCUUGAGGCAGCAACGCCGCGUGAGGGACGAAGGCCUUCGGGUCGUAAACCUCUUUUCUGAGGGACGAGAUCAGGACGGUACCUCGGGAAUAAGUCUCGGCUAACUACGUGCCAGCAGCCGCGGUAAAACGUAGGAGGCGAGCGUUAUCCGGAUUUACUGGGCGUAAAGCGCACGCAGGCGGCGCUGAAAGUUGGACGUGAAAGCUCCUGGCUUAACUGGGAGAGGUCGUUCAAUACUACAGGGCUUGAGGUUGGAAGAGGAGAGCGGAAUUCCCGGUGUAGUGGUGGAAUGCGUAGAUAUCGGGAGGAACUCCAGUGGCGAAAGCGGCUCUCUGGUCCACCCCUGACGCUGAGGUGCGAAAGCGUGGGGAGCGAACGGGAUUA